AACCCUAGAUUACAUUAAAGCAUUUUCUGAGUCAAUGAUUAAAUCAAUCAAAACUUUCAACAACGGAUCUCUUGGUUCUGGCAUCGAUGAAGAACGCAGCGAAAUGCGAUAAGUAAUGUGAAUUGCAGAAUUCAGUGAAUCAUCGAAUCUUUGAACGCACAUUGCGCCCGCCAGUAUUCUGGCGGGCAUGCCUGUCCGAGCGUCAUUUCAACCCUCAAGCCCCCGGGCUUGGUGUUGGAGAUCGGCGAGCCCCCCGGGGCGCGCCGUCUCCCAAAUAUAGUGGCGGUCCCGCUGUAGCUUCCUCUGCGUAGUAGCACACCUCGCACUGGGAAACAGCGUGGCCACGCCGUAAAACCCCCCACUUCUGAAAGGUUGACCUCGGAUCAGGUAGGAAUACCCGCUGAACUUAAGCAUAUCAAUAAGCGGA
rnacentral:rRNA from 1 species